rnacentral:rRNA from 1 species
UACGGAGGGUGCAAGCGUUAUCCGGAUUCACUGGGUUUAAAGGGUGCGUAGGUGGGGUGGUAAGUCAGUGGUGAAAUCUCCGAGCUUAACUUGGAAACUGCCAUUGAUACUAUCAUUCUUGAAUAUUGUGGAGGUCAGCGGAAUAUGUCAUGUAGCGGUGAAAUGCUUAGAUAUGACAUAGAACACCGAUUGCGAAGGCAGCUCGUUACACGAACAUUGACUCUGAGGCUCGAAAGCGUGGGGAGCAAACAGG